AUCCAUUGACUUAUUGUAGUACGUAACAAUUGACUUCCUCCUAUUUCAUCAUCAAUAAUGGUGCUGAUAUAAAAUACCUUAAUUUCUGAAGAUUUGUGUGGAUAGAUGUAGCUUUCAUCUUUCUUAAAAAAUUUCCUCAACUAGCUUUCAUCUCUUGCAAAUUGUUAAAUAAAGAUUCAGUUUUUUUUUUGGUUAGUUUAAAAGAUUCAUUUUCUUUGAACAAAUCGAGAUUCUUCCUUGUCUGAAGAUUCUUUCUAUAAACAAGUGAUCGAAGAAUCUUUCAACUACCACUCCCUACAUAUUUCCGAAGAAACAUAUCCACUUUUCCAUUUACAACAAUAUAAAGUGCGAGGAAGAAGAAAGAAGAUAUGGCCACGUGUCCUCCUUUCGACUUCUCGGCGAAAUAUUACAACGGUGGCGGAAGCGGAUGCGAGAGGCGGAGCAGCUUCUUCGGAGAUACUACGGUGCUCGACCAAGGCGUUGGGUACGCCGUUAUUCUCGGGUUUGGUGCUUUCUUUGCCGUCUUCACAUCUGUGUUGGUUUGGUUAGAGAAACGAUAUGUGGGGGCUCAACAUACCUCUGAAUGGUUCAAUACAGCUGGAAGAAACGUCAAGACAGGACUCAUUGCGAGUGUCAUUGUGUCACAGUGGACAUGGGCUGCGACAAUACUCCAAAGUUCAAACGUCGCAUGGCAGUAUGGUGUUAGCGGACCGUUUUGGUACGCUAGUGGGGCCACCAUACAGGUACUCUUGUUUGGUGUGAUGGCGAUUGAAAUAAAAAGAAAAGCUCCUAAUGCUCACACGGUCUGCGAAAUAGUGAAGGCUCGGUGGGGAACCGCAACACAUAUAGUGUUCUUGGUGUUUUGUCUGGCGACAAACGUGGUAGUGACGGCUAUGCUAUUGCUCGGUGGCUCGGCCGUGGUGAAUGCUCUCACCGGAGUGAAUAUAUACGCUGCAAGCUUUCUGAUUCCUCUCGGUGUCAUUGUUUAUACUUUGGCAGGAGGACUUAAAGCUACUUUCCUCGCAAGCUAUGUUCACUCUGUCAUAGUUCACGUGGUUUUAGUCGUCUUUGUGUUUCUGGUCUACACUUCGAGUAGUGAGCUUGGGAGUCCCUCUGUGGUCUAUGACCGGCUAAGAGAUAUGGCCGCUAAGUCAAGGAUAUGCACUGAGCCACUCUCACACCACGACCAAGCUUGCGGUCCGGUCGACGGCAACUACAAAGGCUCUUAUCUCACCAUGUUGAGCUCUGGUGGUGCUGUCUUCGGUAUCAUCAACAUUGUCGGAAACUUCGGCACUGUCUUCGUCGACAAUGGUUACUGGGUGAGUGCAAUAGCUGCUCGACCUUCAUCAACCCACAAGGGGUAUUUGCUUGGUGGACUCGUGUGGUUCGCUGUGCCUUUCUCUCUAGCCACCUCCUUAGGCCUCGGCGCACUUGCCCUAGACUUGCCUAUAAGCGCAGAUGAGGCUAAUCGAGGUCUAGUCCCGCCUGCUACUGCCAUUGCUCUCAUGGGUAAAUCAGGAUCCUUGCUUCUUCUCACUAUGCUUUUCAUGGCUGUAACAUCAGCUGGUUCUUCCGAGCUUAUCGCGGUAUCAUCUCUCUUCACCUACGACAUCUACCGAACAUACAUAAAUCCUAGAGCAACCGGAAAACAAAUCUUGAAAGUCUCAAGAUCUGCGGUUCUUGGAUUUGGAUGUUUCAUGGGGAUUCUUGCAGUGAUCUUGAACAAAGCCGGUGUUUCCCUCGGAUGGAUGUAUCUCGCGAUGGGAGUUCUCAUUGGCUCUGCGGUUAUCCCCAUCGCUUUCAUGCUUUUGUGGAGCAAAGCUAAUGCAUUUGGUGCUAUUCUUGGGUCGAUCUCUGGCUGUGUUCUUGGGAUUGUUACUUGGUUAUCCACCGCAAAGAUUCAGUACGGACGUGUCGAUCUUGAUACCACAGGGAGAAAUGCUCCCAUGCUUGCUGGUAACCUCGUUGCUAUUCUAACAGGUCAGGAUUCUACUACUUUGAGGAAAUUUCGGCUUCGUUCCAUUUCUUUCUUUCACUUGAAUUCUUGCUCUUUCUUAUCUUUUUUUUGGUCAAUAAUACUAGGUAUAAUUAGGUUUUUGGGUUGGAUUUUAGUAGUUGGUGGAUAAAAAAAUUUACAAAAUCAAAGUAGAUAACCAAAUUAAAAUACAUUAUGUUUUUGGAAAUAAAUGAAAGUAAAACAUAGGACCAUGGUAAAAUGGUUUCAUCACUCUCUCUAUAUUCAACAUCUUCUUUUUUAUCUUUUUAACAUUCCACAUCAUCUUAUCUCUCUUCCACCUCAUUUAUUCAACAUCCACUUCAUUCUAAACUUAUAUAAUGAUUUGUUUUAAGAAAUUUAACACUCUACCCCACAACUUUUAAUUUAUAUUUUUGUUUUUACAACAUAAUAAAUACAUAUUUAUAAUUUGAUUAUAAUUAACCUAAAAACUAAAACAACAUAUAUUUAAUAAUAUUUAUUUUGAAUUAUUAUACUUCACUUACUUUUUAUAAUACGAAAAAUUAAUACUAUAAAAAAAUAUUAAGAACAUCUUCAUUUGGUGGGAAACCAAAAUUUGGUAUAUUUUGGGGCUGGUUGGAAGUUUGGUUUUAAAAUUGAUAAUUGUUGGAAUUUUUGGAAGUUAAACGGAAAAUUAGAAGAGUUUUGGAUGUUGAAAGGAUUAUUAUUGGGAUCCAUUUAACCAAAAAAAAAGUUUAAAACACUAAAAUAGUUGAUUAUAAUGAAAAAUGAUAUUUUUUCUGUAUCCAAAUGAAAUAGAGUAGUCUCUAUUUAUAAAUUAAAAAAAUCUUGAAUUUUGAUAUAAUUUUUUUAAAUAGUUUAUUAUAAAAUAAAUGGGUUCGAAUUAUUGGAUGGGGAUAAAAAUCAAAGAAAAUCUGCACAUCCAAUGAGAACACAACAUUUAAAUCUUAUCAUGAAUUAAAAAAUAAAUAGUGUUAGCUUGCACGCGUGCAUGCCCUCAACAUUUAUACCCGCUCACGGUGCCAUGGGCCACAAAAAAAAAUUUCAACCAUUGAAACUUUCCAACACUUGUUAAGCCCACGUAUAUUUACGCAGAAAUUCAACACCCUCACUGCAUGGUCACAACCGUUGAAAUUGGUUUUCAACACCCUCGUUGUGGAUGGUCUAAUGAAAAACCUAAUUAAUGAGGGUUUAUCCAUGCGGUGUGUAGUCUAGUACAGCCACAGAACUACGAUUGGUCGACGACGAGGGAAAUCAAAGUGGUGGAAGCUGAGGCUCCAGGGGACGAUAUCGAUGUUCCUGUAGAGGAGCUAAAAGAAGAGAAGC